rnacentral:lncRNA from 1 species
UGCAGAGUGUAUCCUUUCUUGUUGUAUCCUUUUUUGUGCAAUAUUUCUUGUAGCACACAACUGCAUCUUAAUUUUCAUACAGAGUAGGUGUGGGGAGGAGUUAACAUGUUUUAAGCUUGAGCUAAUCUAAAAACUUUAAAAAGCAAAUUUUUUCAGGGGGGGAAAAAGAAACCAAUGAGUUGUCUGUAUUGAGUGAAUAGACACAAUGAAGGUUCUCAGUCUCAAAAGGUGGCCUUCACCUUCUUCCUCAGAUACCCUACUAAUUUGUGGUCCUGUUCCUUAGAGGAGCAGUUCUAGAUCCUAGCAGCUGAUCUGUGUGAAGCUGUGCUGAGCUCACACUGACCAAGUUACCUUGUUUUACUUUAAAAACAUAGUAAUAUAAUAAUAUGUUGUCUAAAAUACAUUGCAGAGCAGUUUUAAUAUUAAGGGGUUGAUCAGUAUUUUAGAUCAUUUGAUUAUUGUUCUGGUACAUGAGAAACAAUUUGGAGUUGAUUUAGUUAAUACAUUCCUUACUUUGUCAUUUUGAGUAAAGAAGAAAAUUAAAACUAUCUUGUAAUUAAGUAUUUGGAUCUGGACUAAUAAUCAACUUAAUCACUGCUACCCUUUUGUUGGUUGUUUGGGUUUUGUUACAGUGCUGUCUGCACCUAGGUAGUGUUGUUGCUAGUGACCUACAUGUUUCCUGUGGGUUUCAUACUACAUUACUGUUUAACAUUCUGUAAUCUAAAAUUAACACAGUCUGCAUUUAUUAAGAUGUAUUUUUCACAGACAUUAAGCACUUUUUAAAACACUAAGCAUCUUUCAAUGUAGUUGUCAAAAGCCAAUAUAGCACUCCUGUUUUUUUGGUAGUUCUUACUUUUAACAUGCUUUUGUGAUGUUCCAGGUCCCUUUUGUGUUCCAUCUCUUUCAAGUAUUAUGGAGCUGGGGAAGAAGCAGUGUAAUCAUCAGGACUCUUGAACUGCAGAACAGGUCUUCUUGUCUUGAAAACCAAGCAGAAGGGCUGGUGCAUUGGCCUGAAUUUGUACUCUGAAACUGGGCACUGUUUUUCUUCAGUAAUUAACUUGCAUUGUUCAUCUGCAACUUGAAAACUGUCACUGGUGAGACUUAAGUAAUUAAAACCAGAGUAGCAGUUAAAACUGGUAUUGAUGUGGUCCUUGCCCUGUUGAGGGUGAUGAUAACAGUGGUCACAUGGGAUUAGCUACAUACUGGGCUGCUUAGUGGAACUAUUUAAAACCAUGUGGGAAACACUGCAAUGACAUUUAAUUUACAAGAUAUUCUAGUUCAGUAGACUUAAAGGCAAAGUUAUUCCAUAAAUUACUAAAUCGUAGUUGAUGGUGUGGGAGCUGGCUGGUGUAAAAGAUUUGUCAUUACUCCAGCUGCAAACAGUCUAAAUCACUACUAUUGGUGGCUGGACCAAAGUCAAUCUAUUUUAUUCCAAUAGGAGCUGGUUUAGCAGAUUACUUUAAAGUGCUUUUACUGGAAUUAUUCAUAUCUUACUUGCUGCAUUCCAAUGGGGAC